GAGGUGGCAAGCGUUGUCCGGGAAUUAUUGGGGCGUAAAGCGCGCGCAGGCGGUUCUUUAAGUCUGAUGUGAAAGCCCACGGGCUCAACCGUGGAGGGUCAUUGGAAACUGGAGAACUUGAGUACAGAAGAGGAAAGCGGAAUUCCACGUGUAGCGGUGAAAUGCGUAGAGAUGUGGAGGAACACCAGUGGCGAAGGCGGCUUUCUGGUCUGUAACUGACGCUGAGGCGCGAAAGCGUGGGGAGCAAACAGGAUUAGAUACCCUGGUAGUCCACGCCGUAAACGAUGAGUGCUAAGUGUUAGGGGGUUUCCGCCCCUUAGUGCUGCAGCUAACGCACUAAGCACUCCGCCUGGGGAGUACGGCCGCAAAGGCUGA
rnacentral:rRNA from 1 species